UUAAAUUAAUUAGACUUGUAAAAGCAAGUUAAUUCCCAUAUAUCAGCUGGACAGUUUUCUUCUGCAUAGAGCAAUGUUUUCUGUGAUCAUUGAGCCACACAGGAGAUGCUUCCUUAUGUAAACGAGCACUACUUAAUCAAGUAUAGGUUUCUUUUCUUUUCUUUUCUUUUUUGAAAUGGAGUCUCACUGUGUCUCCCAGCCUGGAAAGCAAUGGCCGCGAUCUCAGCUCACUGCAACCUCCGCCUCCUGAGUUCAAGCGAUUCUCCUGCCUCAGUCUCCUGAGAAAAAAAAUAAUGUAACUAGAGAAGAGAGUUGAGCAGAGAACUGAGCUCUUUGAAGUGCUGGUAGUUUGUCUCAACCCAUGAAGCAGCUUAACAAGCAACUAUAACUAAGCAUAGAGGUAAGAACAAUUAUUUGCUAUUUUUCAUUUUAUUAUUUGGAUUGCUAUUUAUAUAGCAACAAUUUAAAUGCUGGCCACAUUACAGUGUAGAUUAGAUAAACCUGAUAACUCUUUCAAGUAAGUAACCGACAUUUUAAAUAAAAAGUUUAAUACAUUUACAAAGCUUCAGCUUCACAUACAAGCUUUUAAAAACCUGGAAAAAUUUAAAGUUUUCAUUGAUCUCCAAAUUAUUUUACCUGCAAAAUAAAACGUUAUCUUUCUUGUGUAUUUGUAAUUUUGCACACAAUUUAGUGCUGAAGAGGCAUUUGGAUUAUUAACAAAUUUGAUAACUUUUCUUCUUUCCCAGCUCUAGAUUAUUUCUAAUAUUCUCUCACAGAUAUACUUUUGUUCAUUUUGCAUAUUAUUAGUUGAGCACUUUCC
rnacentral:lncRNA from 10 species